rnacentral:rRNA from 1 species
GACAGAGGUCUCAAGCGUUGUUCGGAUUCAUUGGGCGUAAAGGGUGCGUAGGCGGCGCGGUAAGUCGGGUGUGAAAUCUCGGAGCUUAACUCCGAAACUGCAUUCGAUACUGCCGUGCUUGAGGACUGGAGAGGAGACUGGAAUUUACGGUGUAGCGGUGAAAUGCGUAGAUAUCGUAAGGAAGACCAGUGGCGAAGGCGGGUCUCUGGACAGUGCCUGACGCUGAGGCACGAAGGUCAGGGGAGCAAACGGG